AGUGAACGCUGGCGGUAGGCCUAACACAUGCAAGUCGAACGGCAGCACAGUAAGAGCUUGCUCUUACGGGUGGCGAGUGGCGGACGGGUGAGGAAUACAUCGGAAUCUACUUUUUCGUGGGGGAUAACGUAGGGAAACUUACGCUAAUACCGCAUACGACCUACGGGUGAAAGCAGGGGAUCUUCGGACCUUGCGCGAUUGAAUGAGCCGAUGUCGGAUUAGCUAGUUGGCGGGGUAAAGGCCCACCAAGGCGACGAUACGUAGCUGGUCUGAGAGGAUGGUCAGCCACACUGGAACUGAGACACGGUCCAGACUCCUACGGGAGGCAGCAGUGGGGAAUAUUGGACAAUGGGCGCAAGCCUGAUCCAGCCAUACCGCGUGGGUGAAGAAGGCCUUCGGGUUGUAAAGACCUUUUGUUGGGAAAGAAAAGCAGCAGGUUAAUACCCCGCUGUUCUGACGGUACCCAAAGAAUAAGCACCGGCUAACUUCGUG
rnacentral:rRNA from 1 species